CAUGGUUAUAGAGCUUUUACUUUUGGGGUGUGUGUGUUUCUGGCUGGAGCGAUUCCCCAACAGGCACAAAAGUUGCUUUCAGAGAACUCUUUGCCUGCAACAGCAGCCUUUCUGGUGCAACUGGACAUGUGUCCUUCCCACCAUCUGACCCCUGCCCUCAGAGGGCUUCAAAAAGCGAUCAGGCAUGCCCCAAAAAUCAGAUGGCUGUGAAUGGCUACCAGCCGCGAGGGCUGUACGUGUCUUGUGACUUCCCAGAAGUGUCCGAGACCACUUGCCCUUUUCAUGCCAGUUGCCGGCGGGCUCGGCCGGGAGGGAACGAUUGCCCUCCUGCCCAGCUGGUUAGGAUUCUCAUUGGGGCAUCCAGCAGAACCAGGCGGGAAGAGGAUGCUAGGACUAGCGAGGCGCUUCUUCUGACCCAGCUUUGGGCCCCUGUUUCACUGUUAUGAAUGCCCUCCUUUCCUCAAUCCCCCCCAUCCCACCCCCCAAGCGAUAGCUGUACGUCGUGCAAUGGCUCUGGAGGUCUUCAUACUCCGGAGUUCUUGGUGGGGGUCGCUUUUCCCAGCUUGGGUUCUGCACAAAAUGGGCCAAGAGAACAGGAGCCGGCAUUUCAACGUGGCUGCCCCCAAAUGAUGAGGUUUGGGGAUGCUAGACAAGGGACUCAAGAUAUCACUUAGUGGGGGCCUUCCGUUGCAGCUCGGUUUUGCCUACGAAGCUCCUGGGAGCUCAUGUGUCCUGGAAUCCAUUUUCACCUGCUCUAACACAUAAAGCCAUACUUGCUGGCCAAACGAUGCAGGGGUCCCCCUGCGGUGGCUGUGUGUGUGUGGGGAUCCCGGGUGCUGAGCCCAAAAACCACCAGGUCUCCAACGUCUUCCAUGCCCUUGCCCGCUCUUCCUUCCCCUCGGAUCACCUGGGGGUCAGGUGCAUUUUUUCCCAAACGGGAGGGAAGAUUUUGUAAGCUUCGGGCCGGGCAAGGGGGUGUGUCUUGCGGCCGAGAGCCCCCUCGAGUAUUUCGACAAGGUUCGCUUGACCUUGCUUUUCACAGAAAGGCCCCUGCGUUUGGCGAGCGGGUUACUAUGGCACUCUGCCACAUUCCAGUCACCGAUACCGUGGUGCCGGCGGGGCGAAGGCGCAGUGGGAUCCGGGGGGAUAUCUGGCCCGCGGGGAGAAAAAUGGAGCUGGAGCAAAGCUUUGCCCCCGCGGAGAAGUUAAAUAUUGACGGAUUGAAAAGUUCACUCUUCAGAGGCGAGAAUCCGUCAUGCCUCCUGGAGUCUGGACGGAGAAAAGAGGUUCUGGUGGGAACCUGUCUGGGCGGCCAGAGAAGUGAAAGGCCGCCCGGACAUAAAGCCGAGAGGACAAAAGAGCCGAGCAUCAGAAAGGUGUGCCAAGUCUGAGCGGCUCAUGUAAAGGUCAGUCCCCCCCCUCCUGCCACCCACCCGCCCUCCAUUCUCCCUCUGGCCUCGGUUAUUCAAGCCGGCUGCUUUUAUCCCUUUCUGUGCUUUCCUGCUGGAAGCGUUCCUAUCGCUGUGGGUUGCUGGUUCGGAUCCAGAUCCAUUCCCACCAGAGGUCCGGAGGAGGGGUGGAGGGCAGGGUGGGCCCCGCGGAUCAAGGAAGCUGCCCGUGGAAAGGUAUUGUCUACUCAGUGACUCAUUUUAUUUUAUUUUAUUCUAAAGGCCGCCUGCCUGGCUUUGGGAAUGAUAGGAUUUAUAGUCCCCAAACACAGAGAGGAUGUUGAGGCUGAUAAUCUAAGAGCAUCGUCAGUCCAAAAUAUUUCUCCAGCUACAGAACGAGAUCCCUUCGUGACAAUUCAGGGGGGAACCCGCACAAAAGUAUUACAAAACACGUGUCGCGCCCUAAAUGGUUCCACACUCCUACCAGUUGAUUUGGCUUCCUAGCUCCUGCUCCUUGGUCUCGGACGGCACUUUUAUACUGGUUUGCCAGGAAGUCCCCCCCCUCCAUGAUCAGGGUCCCCCUUUCUGCUUCCCCUUGGAGAUUCUCGGCUGUUUCUCUUCUGACACACUUGCAGCUGGUGGGGUUUCCCCCCCAGUGCCAGGGUUUGGAACCCUCCCUGAGCAAAUUGAAAAAAAAAAGGCCGGGCCAAGUCAGAUUUCAAGGUAACAGACCCUAAGGAGCCUUCUUGCUCUUUCCAAUCCCCGACCUGGACAUUGGGCAGGGCAGGCGGGCAGCUCACUUGGCCGCAUCCUUCUCUGCUAUGCCGAGAGGUACCGAGAUGACCUACAUUGCUUCUCGUUUUGCAUCUUUACCUGUCCACUACUAGUGCUAUUUAUGCAGCUUUCCUGGAAGCCUUUCUUCUCAAGUGCUCCAUAGAAGGGGCCCAGGUGGGGACGAUCCGGUUUCUUGUGCGCUCCGCAGCUGCUCCCCAAUCCCUUUGCU
ensembl:lncRNA